rnacentral:tRNA from 1 species
GGGCGCGUAGUCUAGCCAGGAUAGGGCGCCAGCCUUCGGAGUUGGAUGUCCCCGGUUCGAAUCCGGGCGCGCCCGCCA